rnacentral:rRNA from 1 species
CGGAGGGAUCAUUACCGAGUUUACAACUCCCAAACCCCUGUGAACAUACCUAUACGUUGCCUCGGCGGAUCAGCCCGCGCCCCGUAAAACGGGACGGCCCGCCCGAGGACCCCUAAACUCUGUUUUUAGUGGAACUUCUGAGUAAAACAAACAAAUAAAUCAAAACUUUCAACAACGGAUCUCUUGGUUCUGGCAUCGAUGAAGAACGCAGCAAAAUGCGAUAAGUAAUGUGAAUUGCAGAAUUCAGUGAAUCAUCGAAUCUUUGAACGCACAUUGCGCCCGCCAGUAUUCUGGCGGGCAUGCCUGUUCGAGCGUCAUUUCAACCCUCAAGCUCAGCUUGGUGUUGGGACUCGCGGUAACCCGCGUUCCCCAAAUCGAUUGGCGGUCACGUCGAGCUUCCAUAGCGUAGUAAUCAUACACCUCGUUACUGGUAAUCGUCGCGGCCACGCCGUAAAACCCCAACUUCUGAAUGUUGACCUCGGAUCAGGUAGGAAUACCCGCUGAACUUAAGCAUA